rnacentral:rRNA from 1 species
UACGGAGGGUGCAAACGUUGCUCGGAAUCAUUGGGCGUAAAGCGCACGUAGGCGGUUCAGCAAGUCGGGUGUGAAAGCCCUCGGCUUAACCGAGGAAGUGCAUUCGAAACUACUGGACUUGAAUACUGGAGAGGGUUGCGGAAUUCCCGGUGUAGAGGUGAAAUUCGUAGAUAUCGGGAGAACACCAGUGGCGAAGGCGGCCACCUGGACGGUA